GGAAUAUUGGACCAUGGGGGCAACCCUGAUCCAGCAAUGCCGCGUGUGUGAAGAAGGCCUGCGGGUUGUAAAGCACUUUCAGUGGGGAGGAAAAACCAUGGGUAAAUAGCUCAGGGUGUUGACGUUACCCAUAGAAGAAGCACCGCUUAACUCCGUGCCAGCAGCCGCGGUAAUACGGAGGGUGCGAGCGUUAAUCGGAAUUACUGGGCGUAAAGCGCGCGUAGGCGGCGUGAUAAGCCGGUUGUGAAAGCCCCGGGCUCAACCUGGGAACGGCAUCCGGAACUGUCAGGCUAGAGUGCAGGAGAGGAAGGUAGAAUUCCCGGUGUAGCGGUGAAAUGCGUAGAGAUCGGGAGGAAUACCAGUGGCGAAGGCGGCCUUCUGGACUGACACUGACGCUGAGGUGCGAAAGCGUGGGUAGCAAA
rnacentral:rRNA from 1 species